GCUACGCGAUAGGGUUCGAGGAGGAUGGUCCUCAUCCCAGAAUCCAUCUCCUUCACCAGGUCGCUCGUCGGCGUCGCCAGCUCGAUAUAGAUACAUGCGUCUCCUCCUCACGCAAAGCCGAAGGUUCUAGAAUUGCCUUCGUCAUGUUCCCUGUAAAAAAACCCCCGGGGCCCCUCGUUUCCCGCCCAAGGCUGAAACCCUGGCUCUUGGGCGUCCACUCCAAGCCCAAGCCCAAGCCCAAGCCGAUGGCACCGACAGAUCUCAUCCCCUCCGGAGACCCUCGGUGGAUCGGGCCUGCUUCCCCGGCAACCGGGAGAUGAUGGAGUUCGGGGCUCAGCAGCACAGGGCUUGGGGAAUGGAUUCUUCCCGAACCGCUGGUUAUGAAGACUCAUCUGGUUGUGAGACAAUGGUUGUGCAUCCAACCUUUGAUACGGAAAACAAUUGACAAGCAAUCUAUGAGUUGGACCCGGAUGACAAAUAAUUCCAACGUCAAAAGCAAGAUUUCAGAGAUGGGAAUGGGCCAGUUUCCAGGUCGCAAAACAGUUUCACCGUCAAAAGACUUCUUUUCUGAUAUUAUAGAAAUGGAGAUCUUCAACUUUUGUCUUUGAUUGAAUAUUUAAUGGCAAUCAGCUCGUUUUAAGAGUCUAUGGAGAAAAAAGAAUGAUUAUUUUCAUGUUUGCGACAUAAAAAAAAAUUGAUUCAACUGAGAUGCUUGAGAAUGUCAUCAAUCUUGAUCGGGAUUUGGAUUGCAAGGAUUACCAGGGACACGGUGUGAUGAAGUUGCCCAUCUCAAACUAAAUUCCGAUGUUGCUUGGCGUUCCGCUGUUCUUGUUAACAAAAAAAGGUUGAUUGCCAGUUUGUUUUAAGAGUACAUGGAGAAAAAAGAAUGUUCUUGGUGGGUGCACUAUGUGGAACACUGUUCUGAUUUUAGGUUAAGCAUGCAAACUUGGGAGGGUCAUGAAGCAUCAAUAUUAGUAUUUUUGAGUUUAUCCGCAUAUUGCUAGUAUAAGUUCUAUCUGCCAUACCUGUACGAUUUUCAUACAAGUAUGCAGGUUUAUCAUUAAAAAACCUCAAUUCUAUGAUUCUUAAGACCGAAACAUGUUCCCUUUUUGAUUAGUUGAAGUAAUAAUUUCAGAAGGUUUUUUCAGUACCAUGAUUCACAUCAACUGUACUUAAGUCAAUUGGGAAGGAUUCCUUGUGCAGCAGGAUAAUCCACAAACAGAUGAUGGAACUGUGGCUCCUUCACACAUCAGGCCUACUCCUGAAAUUUCUGGCUGGAGAGUUUAGGAAACUGGAGUUCUCCUUCGAAUUGAGCCCACCACACUGAGGCAUAAGGAUCUUCCAGAAGACAAAUUCCAAGUUAAUUUGAAACCAGAUUGAUUUCUCCUAUGGUGACGCAAAAGGCUCAUACAUACAAGUAGCCUGGUUCCCUCCAUUAAAUUCUCCUUUCAAUUAGCUGACUGACUCUCUGACAAGCAGUAUGGAGGAACAUGCAUGUAUAUGUCAGGACAACCAUGUCGAUGAAUUAUGCUGCGGAUGUACACGGCAUAUUUUCCAGAGACUUUUAGGUGGAAGGAAACAGCGCAGGGAGGCAUUAACUUCAUUGUGACUUGAAAGGCACCGUUUCAAAAUUAUCCUGAGAGGAUAACAAGACUCAUCGAUGCAUCACAACCCAUUCCAGAAAGCUAGAAAGGCAUUCUGUUCUCGGGGAAGAUGAGAUGCAUGAAUAGUUCGACAGCCUUGCGCAUAUCGCCAGCAACAAAAGAAUGACAGUGCCCUGCUUUUUCCUUCCCCCAAGAAAGAGAGAGGAAGAAUCCACCAAAGCAUGCAUCGGUACUGAAGGAAUGAACAGGUCAUAUUUCCAGCAACCAAAGGAGAAAUAGGUUUAUAGCAAUGAAUAGGUCCCACUACGCACUGCACCACGAGGGUUGAAGUCUAUAGUUGGAGGAUGAUUUAUUAUAAGGUAUUCUACCAGAAAAAAAUAUACACUAUUUUUAUUUUAAAAAUCUUAAAAUUUGAUAAUUAAUCAUCAUAAAAUUAUCAAAAAUCAUACUAAUCAUCUUAAAAAUCAUAUCAUAAUAAUUUUUUAAAAAUUUAGAUCGAUUUACUUAAAAAUCAUCAAGCUAUAUUCCAAAUUGAAGUAAGUUAAA